UACGUAGGGUGCAAGCGUUGUCCGGAAUUAUUGGGCGUAAAGAGCUCGUAGGCGGUCUGUCGCGUCUGCUGUGAAAACUCAGGGCUUAACCCUGAGCUUGCAGUGGGUACGGGCAGACUAGAGUGCGGUAGGGGAGACUGGAAUUCCUGGUGUAGCGGUGAAAUGCGCAGAUAUCAGGAGGGAACACCCGGUGGGCGAAGGCGGGUCUCUGGGCCGUAACUGACGC
rnacentral:rRNA from 1 species